AUGUGGAACUCCCAUGCACUUAGCACUGUGAAAGGGAUUCAAAUAGAGGACUUCCAGGCACCAUACUUAGGCAUUUCGAAUAGUGAAGAAAAUCAUUUUCCCAAAGUGCUCUGUUGGGGAUGUUCCCUACGACUAAGACCCGGCCAAAAUUAUGACCCGACUAGGAGCAUGGAGGCUCUAUGGGUCACUCUAUUUUAUGGGUCAUGGAAGGGAAACAAGAAAGGUCCAAAGGCCCGGUGUGAGACCCAGCAGGAGGCCGGCUCACGGAAGAGCACAAUGGGCCGGCUCAAGAAGAAGGUGUUGGAAAUAUGCCCUGGAGGUAAUAAUAAAGUGGUUAUUAUUAUAUUUCCUUGUUCAUGA
rnacentral:rRNA from 1 species